GCAGUUUUAAGAAGAAUGCAUUGAUUCUACAACAUGCUAUUGUGAAGCCAUCCAGGACUGUUCACUCACUUAUUUAAGAAAGAGAAAAUAAGAGAAGUAUCCCUGAAGGAUGAAAUAUCCUCAAAUAUGAAAAUGUCUGCUCUCUGAAGACCAACUGUCUUAGUCUGCUUUUUGCUGCUGUAACAGAAUACCACAGACUUGGUUACAUUAGUUAUAAUAUACACUCUGGAGGUGACUUGACCUGUCAUUGUGAACAACUAUUGCUCUUGGACGACCCAGGACAUAGGCCAGCCAACUUGCUGUCAAGGCUUCUGAUCAACACGAGAUGACCGCCGUGUGGUAAACUGAUGAACCCCGACCCUGAUGAACAUGAGAUGACUGCUGUGUAGUAAACUGAUGAACCCCGACCCUGAUCAACAUGAGAUGACCGCUGUGUGGUAAACUGAUGAACCCCGACCCUGAUCAACAUGAGAUGACUGCUGUGUGGUAAACUGAUGAACCCCGACCCUGAUGAACGUGAGAUGACCGCCGUGUGGUAAACUGAUGAACCCUGACCCUGAUCAACAUGAGAUGGCCGCUGUGUAGUAAACUGAUGAACCCUGACCCAUUAGGCUUUGGCUACAGAAUGUGGAAAUAAGUUGUGUUACUACGUGUGUGUAAUCCUAGGGUGCAGGACACCGGCCGGGAGGUUCCGUAGAGUGAUGGGUUGUGCAGGUAACUCAUCCUCUAGUCCUCUGUAAGCUCCUAGAAGGAAGAAAUUAUGUCCUUUAGACUAAUAAAAUUCCUCCAAACCAAAUACACCACCUACAGUGAAGACACAAAGAUACUUUUAGAAUAGUAAAAACUUUAUCCAUUGAGAAAUUCCUUAAUGAAACUGUAUCCAAGAAGUCAUUUGCCAGCAGAUUUCUUAGAGGUGCGAUAAAGAAGAGGACACUGCCAGUCGUCACAGCAGCUGCAAUAGCUCCUCUCUAUUGUUAAACACUGGGAUAUCUUGUACAGGUUUUCAGUUGACAAUCAAUUUUAAAAAUUAGUUUCAGUCCCCAUCAAUCAAUUAUUUAUUAACCCAUCAAUAAAAAUUUAAAUGCUCUGUAAGGUACAAUAGCUAUUAAAAGAGACAGAGGCACUUUCUGUGUCUAGAGGGGCUUUUAGUCUGCUCUGGAAAGCAAGAUGUGUGCAGAUGAGUGACACAGUGCAUCGUGUGGAUGCAAAG